rfam:Acetohalobium arabaticum DSM 5501, complete genome.
UUGAAUAUUAAAUUAUAGCUGUAGACAGUAGGUGCCAGAAAGGCUUAAAUCUGCCUGCCGAGGCUGGAGAUAGAUGAAGUUAUUAGACUGUAUAGUCUCCGGCUGUCUGCGGAGGCUUUUUUUAGUUGUAAAA